GAUGUGGCUGCUGUGCUGUUUCUGUUGUUCCGAUGCCACAGGUUGGCGGUUUAUUCACAAGAGGGGGUAUGGACACGUCGCUCAACUGCAUCGGAACGAGAGAGGGAAGAAAAAGAGAAAGCAUGAAAAAGACGCAGGCGCUGCGGUCUAGACAGCCGCGGGGGAAUU
rnacentral:SRP_RNA from 19 species